UUAAAAAGCUCGUAGUUGAACCUUGGGCCUGGCUGGCCGGUCCGCCUCACCGCGUGCACUGGUCCGGCCGGGCCUUUUCCUCUGCGGAACCCCAUGCCCUUCACUGGGUGUGGCGGGGAAACAGGACUUUUACUUUGAAAAAAUUAGAGUGCUCAAGGCAGGCCUAUGCUCGAAUACAUUAGCAUGGAAUAAUAGAAUAGGACGUGUGGUUCUAUUUUGUUGGUUUCUAGGACCGCCGUAAUGAUUAAUAGGGACAGUCGGGGG
rnacentral:rRNA from 1 species